rnacentral:rRNA from 1 species
UCUNNGGACCUACGCUGAUUGGAGCGGCCGAUGUCAGAUUNGCUAGUUGGUGAGGUAAAGGCUCACCAAGGCGACGAUCUGUAGCGGGUCUGAGAGGAUGAUCCGCCACACUGGGACUGAGACACGGCCCAGACUAAUACGGGAGGCAGCAGUGGGGAAUUUUGGACAAUGGGCGCAAGCUGAUCCAGCCAUGCCGCGUGAGUGAAGAAGGCCUUCGGGUUGUAAAGCUCUUUCGCAAGGGAAGAAAACGUGUGGGCUAAUAUUCUGCGCGGAUGACGGUACCUUGACAAGAAGCACCGGCUAACUACGUGCCAGCAGCCGCGGUAAUACGUAGGGUGCGAGCGUUAAUCGGAAUUACUGGGCGUAAAGCGUGCGCAGGCGGUUGUGUAAGACAGGUGUGAAAUCCCCGGGCUUAACCUGGGAACUGCGCUUGUGACUGCACGGCUAGAGUACGGCAG